GCCGGAAUAGCUCAGUUGGUAGAG
rnacentral:tRNA from 8 species